rnacentral:tRNA from 1 species
GUAGCUCAAUUGGUAGAGUGCUUGCCUAGUAUGCACCAAGCCCUAGGUUCAAUCCCUAGC